CUCAGUGUCUUCAGUUUACAGUGUUGACUCUUCAGUCCAUCAGAGAGAAGCUUCACUCCUGAAUCCUUCAGUUUAUUGUUACUCAGGUCCAGCUCUCUCAGCACACAGUUUGAGGAUUGUAGAGCUGAAGACAAACUCUCACAAGAAUAAGCAGUGAGUGUUUACACUCAGACCUCAGUGUCUCCAGUUUACAGUGUUGACUCUUCAGUCCAUCAGAGAGCUUCUUCACUCCUGAAUCCUGCAGGUCAUUGUUACUCAGGUCCAGCUCUCUCAGCACACAGUUUGAGGAUUGUAGAACUGAAGACAAACUCUCACAGCACUGAACAGUGAGAUUACAGCCCUGAAGCCUUGCUCUUCUGGUGUUCUUGACCACUGGCAUCAGUCUCAUCAGUGCUUCAUCAGAUCUUCUGUACUUCUGCAGUUCAAACUUCUCUUGAGUCUCUUCUGACAUCAGGAGCACAAACACCAGACCCGACCACUGAGCAGAGGACAGAUCCUGUGAUGUGAGAUUUCCAGAGCUCAGACUCUUCUGGAGGUUCUCCACAAACUCAUCCUUCAGUUC
ensembl:processed_transcript